rnacentral:rRNA from 1 species
GAAGUACCCAAAGUCGCUUGGCUAACUUUUAGAGGCCGGUGCCUAAGGUAAAAUCGAUGACUGGGAUUAAGUCGUAACAAGGUAGCCGUAGGAGAACCUGCGGCUGGAUCACCUCCUUUCUAAGGA